GACGAACGCUGGCGGCGUGCCUAAUACAUGCAAGUAGAACGCACAGUUUAUACCGUAGCUUGCUACACCAUAGACUGUGAGUUGCGAACGGGUGAGUGACGCGUAGGUAACCUGCCUGGUAGCGGGGGAUAACUAUUGGAAACGAUAGCUAAUACCGCAUAAUAUUAAUUAUUGCAUGAUAAUUAAUUGAAAGGUGCAAUUGCACCACUACCAGAUGGACCUGCGUUGUAUUAGCUAGUAGGUGAGGUAACGGCUCACCUAGGCGACGAUACAUAGCCGACCUGAGAGGGUGAUCGGCCACACUGGGACUGAGACACGGCCCAGACUCCUACGGGAGGCAGCAGUAGGGAAUCUUCGGCAAUGGACGAAAGUCUGACCGAGCAACGCCGCGGGAGUGAAGAAGGUUUUCGGAUCGUAAAGCUCUGUUGUAAGAGAAGAACGGGUGUGAGAGUGGAAAGUUCACACUGUGACGGUAUCUUACCAGAAAGGGACGGCUAACUACGUG
rnacentral:rRNA from 1 species